rnacentral:rRNA from 1 species
GAUCCCAUACCGAACUCAGUAGUGAAAUGGUUCAUCGCCGAUGGUAGUGUGGGGUUUCCCCAUGUGAGAGUAGGUCAUCGCCAGGU